GACGAACGCUGGCGGCGUGCCUAAUACAUGCAAGUCGAACGCAGUGGGGACGGGUUGGUAACACGUGGGUAACCUCCCAUCAGAGGGGAAAACACUUGGAAACAGGUGCUAAACCGAUAGUGAUGGAUGGACCCGCGGUGCAUUAGCUAGUGGGUGAGGUAACGGCCCACCAAGGCCACGAUGCGUAGCCGACCGGGGAGGGUGAGCGGCCACACUGGGACUGAGACACGGCCCAGACUCCUACGGGAGGCAGCAGUAGGGAAUCGUCGGCAAUGGACGAAAGUCUGACCGAGCAACGCCGCUUGAGUGAAGAAGGUUUUCGGAGCGUAAAACUCUGUUGUUGGAGAAGCGGUAUCUAACCAUAAAGCCACGGCUAACUACGUGCCAGCAGCCGCGGUAAUUC
rnacentral:rRNA from 1 species